GAUGAACGCUGACAGCAUGCUUAACACAUCAGCGAUUGAUUGGUUGGGGACGGGUGUGUAACGCGUAAAGAACUUGCCUCACAGCUUGGCACAUCAUUUGGAAACGAAUGCUAAUACGUAAUCCUGUGCGAGAGCUUUGCGUCCCAUUAGCUCGUUGGUGUGGUAACGGCUCACCAAGGCAAUGAUGGUUAGCCGGCCUGAGACGGUGAUCGGCCACAACGGGACUGGGACACAGCCCUUACUCCUACGGGAGGAAGGAGUGGGGAAUAUUGGACAAUGUGCCAGAGUCUGAUCAAGCAAUUCUGUGGGCAAGAUGAAGUUUUCGGAAUGUAGAGUGCGUUCAGUUAAGAAGCGGUACCAACAGAAGAAGGGACGGCUAACUACGUGCCAGCAGCCGCGGUAAUAC
rnacentral:rRNA from 1 species